CGACAGAUGAGCUGAGUUUUUCAUUCUCUGUGAGGACUUUCUCAUCCAAAGGCAAAGUUUCUGGCUUUCAGGUGCCACAGGCAGGCACAAAAAGGCAUCCUUUAAAUCUAGUACCGUGAACCAAACUUGACUGUUUUCUAAGACUCUUCUCUUGCACAUCCUCAGCACAUUGAGCAUGUAGGUCCCAGCACUGCACUAGUAAGGGAAGACCUCAAUCAGGAGCAGAUUAUUCUUGAUUAAUUUAAACUGGGGGAGCAGGAAUCACACCAGACAAAGACGUCCUUUUCACCAACAUAGUUUAUUUUGCCUGUCACGGCUCUACACAAAGACAGUAAAAAGGCAACAAAUAAGGCAAUAUUCCCUCCUUCCCCUUCCCUCUCCUCCCCUCCACUUCCUUCCCCGACUCUCUCCUCCCCUAUACUCCCGUACACUCCCCCCCGCUAUGCUCCCCUACACUCUCCUCCCCUACACUCCCCUACACACUGCUCCCCUACCCUCCCCUUCACUCAGUUCCCCUACCCUCCCCUUCCCUACACUCCACUACACUCUCCUCACCUACACUCCCCUAUACUCUCCUCCCCUACGCUCCCCUACACUCUCCUCACCUACAAUCCCCUCCCCUACACUACCCUACACUACCAUACACUACCCUACACUCCACUACACUCUGCUCCCCUGCCCUCCCCUGCCCUCCCGUGCCCUCCCGUGCCCUCCCAAGCCCUCCCCUGCCCUCCCGUGCUCUCCCAUGCCCUCCCCUGCCCUCCCGUGCCCUCCCCAGAACUCCUCUGCCCUCCCCUGCCCUUCCCUCCCCUCCCCUUCUCGUUUUUACCCUUCCCUCCCCUCCCUCCCGUCUUCUCCUUUCUUCUUCUCCUCUCUUCUCCUUUCUUUCACAAAUUGCAAUGGAGAACAGGGAGAAGCAUCACUUCCAGUCACUUCCGUCAUUCUCGUAGCUUGUGUCACUGCCUGAUUCGUGGCAAUCCAUCAGCAGUAUCCAGAAGCGUUCCAGCUGCUGUGCUACUAGGUGAGUAGCAGUCUCCAAGUGGCAAUCAUGGACUUCUUGCUGUGGCUCAGACACGGCACUUUCAAGUCCACCCUGGCUUGGCCAUGUCCUCUUGCUCUGUCCCCACCUACAUUACAGUUCUGCUUAGAAGCCGAAGCACGGUGCUGAAGUAGUUCCACUCCUUCCAUUUGCAAUGAUUGAGUUUGUCUAGCCAAGUGGUUUCUGUCCAGAGAACACAAGAAAGAGGUUUUGCUAAGAAACAACUCAAGGAGGACUUCUUUU
rnacentral:lncRNA from 1 species